UUUCAAAACAGACAAGGGAAAAAGAGAAACAUCAGAAAGUCUGAUUAAAGUAGAAGCAUCAUAUUUCUAUCAACGUAUCCACUGUGCUUGGACUCUGUAAUAUUCACCGGCAGGAAAACCCAAGGGAAUGACUACUAUGACAUCUGAUGGUACAAGAACUAACAAUGAACAGAACAAAGGGGUGUGUGAUCCAGUCCUUGCUCUGUUCACUGAGCUCUGCCCAGCGGCUGGUUGCUUUCACACGAGGAAAACCUUUUUUUCUGCUCUCUUGGCACAAAUUGCUGGAGCUGAAUGUACCAGGGUGGGUGAAGGGGAGGAUGAGGUCAGAGAGGUAACAGGGCCAGGCAAGCCAUUGUCAGGAUUUUGGAUUUUACUGUGUACGGAAUGUGUUUGCCAGAACAAUGCGGGAGUUGCAGAGAGAGGUGUCCUGUGUUUGUUCCCAGUCUUCCUUCACUCACCUGCACCUGCUCCUGCCCUGCUUCGGCCAACAUGUUCUAUGCAGCUGCUCACUGAUGUCACUUAGAGGAAGGCAGGGGCACAAGAUGGGAGGACCCAGAGCUCCGGGUUCUUAAUGAAUUUUUGCCACCUUCAAUGAGAAAGACUGAAACAAAAAACUCAGAAGAAAGAAAGAGACUGAGAUAGCAAAUAUGACAAACUGUUAAAAAUUCAUGAAUCUGUUAUGGAAUACUAUGCAGCCAUAAAAAAGGAUGAGUUCCUGUCCUUUGCAAGGACGUGUAUGAAGCUGGAAACCAUCAUUCUGAGCAAACUAAAACAGGAACAGAAAACCAAACACCACAUGUUCUCACUCAUAAGUGGGAGUUGAACAAUGAGAACACAUGGACACGGCGGGGUGGUGGGAACAUCACACACCGGGGCCUGUCAGAGGGGAGGGGGCUAGGGGAGAGAUAGCAUUAGGAGAAAUACCUAAUGUAGAUGAUGGGUUGAUGGGUGCAGCAAACCACCAUGGCAUGUGUAUACCUAUGUAACAAACCUGCAUGUUCUGCACAUGUAUCCCAGAACUUAAAGUAUAAUAAUAAAAAGAGAGAUUAAAAAAAUUGGUGAAUCUGGGCAAAAUGUACACAGGAUUUUUCUGUACUGUUCUUGCAACUUUUCUACAGAUUUGAAAUGUUACAAAAUAAAAGGUAUUUUUAGAAAAAGAG
rnacentral:lncRNA from 1 species